rnacentral:misc_RNA from 1 species
GAUGAAGAACGCAGCGAAAUGCGAUAAGUAAUGUGAAUUGCAGAAUUCAGUGAAUCAUCGAAUCUUUGAACGCACAUUGCGCCCGCCAGUAUUCUGGCGGGCAUGCCUGUCUGAGCGUCAUUUCAACCCUCAUGCCCCUAGGGCGUGGUGUUGGGGAUCGGCCAAAGCCCGCGAGGGACGGCCGGCCCCUAAAUCUAGUGGCGGACCCGUCGUGGCCUCCUCUGCGAAGUAGUGAUAUUCCGCAUCGGAGAGCGAUGAGCCCCUGCCGUUAAACCCCCAACUUUCCAAGGUUGACCUCAGAUCAGGUAGGAAUACCCGCUGAACUUAAGCAUAUCCAAUAAGCGGAGGA